rnacentral:rRNA from 1 species
AGCGUAGGCGGAUAGUUCAGUCAGAGGUGAAAGCCCAGGGCUCAACCUUGGAACUGCCUUUGAUACUGGCUAUCUUGAGUUUGGGAGAGGUAUGUGGAACUCCGAGUGUAGAGGUGAAAUUCGUAGAUAUUCGGAAGAACACCAGUGGCGAAGGCGACAUACUGGCCCAAUACUGACGCUGAGGCUCGAAAGCGUGGGGAGCAAACAGGAUUAGAUACCCUGGUAGUCCACGCUGUAAACGAUGAGUGCUAGUUGUCGGCAUGCAUGCAUGUCGGUGACGCAGCUAACGCAUUAAGCACUCCGCCUGGGGAGUACGGUCGCAAGAUUAAA